rnacentral:lncRNA from 1 species
AGGCAACCCAGGAGAUCCAAACGACACAGGUAAUACCAACUGUGAUCCUUUCACUACAUCUGAUUUUUGACUUCCUCUACACCCUAGUUCAUAUUUUUUUGUCAUCCUUACCUCCUAAUUAACCUGCUGUACAUUCUCUCCUGCAGAUGCUGAAGAUAAUCCAGAUCAACUCGCAUCACCCAAAUGCCCACGUCCACCUUUCCAUAAACAUUCUACUAGCCAUAGGGAUACUAUGACAGGCUCAUCUGGAUGGACAAACAAAUGAUCAAGGACAGAUGUGGCGAGAAAGCUGGACUACAAGAAAGAAAAAACAGUUCAUAUUUCAGUUGUGAUGAAUCAAAAGUCUACUCCGCAAGGCCCAACACUUCUGACUGUAGCAUCUCCAUCUUCCAACUUGAUAUUCCAAGUCAAUAAAACACCAGGAACAUGUCACUAUUUUUUGAAAAACAUACUACUGUC